GACGAAGUAGCCAAGCUGGAAAGGCUCUGGACUGCAACUCCAGGAUCGUGGGUUCGAAUCCCACCUUUGUCU
rnacentral:tRNA from 1 species